rnacentral:ncRNA from 2 species
UUAAGCCUUCGGGGCAGGGUGAGGGCCGCAAGGCCCAAUUCCCGAUCGGCGGUACAGCCCGCGAGCGCCAGGUGCGCAAGAUCCGGUGAGACUCCGGAGCCGACGGUAUAGUCCGGAUGGGAGAAGGCGGCA